rnacentral:rRNA from 1 species
AGAUUGAACGCUGGCGGCAUGCCUUACACAUGCAAGUCGAACGGUAGAGUAGCAAUACUUGAGAGUGGCGAACGGGUGAGUAAUAUAUCGGAACGUGCCCAGUCGUGGGGGAUAACGUAGAGAAAUUUACGCUAAUACCGCAUACGAUCUAAGGAUGAAAGCGGGGGACCGUAAGGCCUCGCGCGAUUGGAGCGGCUGAUAUCAGAUUAGGUUGUUGGUGAGGUAAAAGCUCACCAAGCCGACGAUCUGUAGCUGGUUUGAGAGAACGACCAGCCACACUGGGACUGAGACACGGCCCAGACUCCUACGGGAGGCAGCAGUGGGGAAUUUGGACAAUGGGCGAAAGCCUGAUCCAGCAAUGCCGCGUGCAGGAAGAAGGCCUUCGGGUUGUAAACUGCUUUUGUACGGAACGAAACGGUCUGCUUUAACACAGUGGCUAAUGACGGUACCGUAAGAAUAAGACACGGCUAACUACGUGCCAGCAGCCGCGGUAAUC